rnacentral:misc_RNA from 1 species
GAUGAAGAAGUAGUGAAAUGCGAUAAGUAGUGUGAAUUGCAGAAUUCAGUGAAUCAUCGAAUCUUUGAACGCACAUUGCGCCCCUUGGUAUCCCGAGGGGCAUGCCUGUUCGAGCGUCAUUUCACCACUCAAGCCUGGCUUGGUGUUGGGCGACGUCCCCUUUGGGGACGCGCCUCGAAACGCUCGGCGGCGUGGCACCGGCUUUAAGCGUAGCAGAAUCUUUCGCUUUGGAAGUCGGGGCCCCGUCUGCCGGAAGACCUACUCGCAAGGUUGACCUCGGAUCAGGCAGGGAUACCCGCUGAACUUAAGCAUAUCAAUAAGCGGAGGA